rnacentral:rRNA from 1 species
GAUGAACGCUGGCGGCGUGCCUAAUACAUGCAAGUCGAGCGAACAGACGAGGAGCUUGCUCCUCUAACGUUAGCGGCGGACGGGGGAGUAACACGUGGGUAACCUACCUAUAAGACUGGGAUAACUUCGGGAAACCGGAGCUAAUACCGGAUAAUAUAUUGAACCGCAUGGUUCAAUAGUGAAAGACGGUUUUGCUGUCACUUAUAGAUGGAUCCGCGCCGCAUUAGCUAGUUGGUAAGGUAACAGCUUACCAAGGCAACGAUGCGUAGCCGACCUGAGAGGGUGAUCGACCCCACUGGAACUGAGACACGGUCCAGACUCCUACGGGAGGCAGCAGUAGGGAAUCUUCCGCAAUGGGCGAAAGCCUGACGGAGCAACGCCGCGUGAGUGAUGAAGGUCUUCGGAUCGUAAAACUCUGUUAUUAGGGAAGACCAAAUGUGUAAGUAACUAUGCACGUCUUGACGGUACCUAAUCAGAAAGCCACGGCUAGCUACGUG